rnacentral:tRNA from 1 species
CCCAGACUGGUGUAGCUGGUAACACAUCCGUUUGACACCUAUGGAAGCCCGCACGGCUGAAAUAGGCCCUUCGGGGGGUCGGAGUUCCCGGUUCGAUUCCGGGGUCUGGGA